rnacentral:rRNA from 1 species
CGGGGGGCAGCAGUAGGGAAUCUUCCGCAAUGGGCGAAAGCCUGACGGAGCGACGCCACGUGGAUGAUGAAGGCCUUCGGGUCGUAAAAUCCUGUCAGGGGGGACGAUGGUCGAUCUUCGGAUUGAUUGACGGUACCCUCAGAGGAAGCUCCGGCUAACUACGUGCCAGCAGCCGCGGUAAUACGUAGGGAGCAAGCGUUGUUCGGAUUUACUGGGCGUAAAGAGUGCGUAGGCGGUUAUAUAAGUCAAAGGUGAAAUCUUCACUUUCAAGGUGGAAACUGCCUCUGAUACUGUAUAACUAGAGGGCAAGAGGGGGAAAUGGAACUCUGGGAGUAGCGGUGAAAUGCGUAGAUAUCCAGAGGAACGCCGGUAGCGAAGGCGAUUUCCUGGCUUGCAUCUGACGCUGAGGCACUAAAGCUAGGGUAGCGAUCGGGAUUAGAUACCCCAGUAGUCCAGUCCGCCUACGGGAGGCA